ensembl:lncRNA
AAGCAAAGUCAUUCCUUUAAUCAUGAGCAAUUCCUCAAAAACACCCUCUUCCAUUGUGUCUGCUCUUGUCAUUUUCACGACAUGGGAACAAUGGCAAAGACAUUUCCCGACAUCUGAUCUUGUGCGAUUAGUGCUUUAGUGGUGUCUGAGUCACACUCUGCACCUGGUGGGCAUGUUGCACACACCUGUAAAUUGUCUACACACAAGUGCUUACCAUGUGAGUCUUUAUGAGCUUCUUAACGGCUCACUCACACUAGAGUAAAAAUAUCACAGCAACUUCUGUGCGACAAAGAAAAUCUGUGGUUUCCUGGUGAUUGCAUCCAUUUUUUAUUUUUUAUUUUUGCAUUGAAAUAGUUAUAGUAACAACUUUUGGUCACAAAGUGAUUCUACGGCAGUAAACCUGUCUCCAAACCACUGUGGUCUGACUCAGACUGACUGCAAUCACUCUCAGACAGAUUGGCGAAGGUUUUUUCAAUGCUUUUCCUAUGUAAGUGCUUUCUAUCUAACAUUUAUACGCCAAUCGAUGCAUCAGAGAGCAACUAGGGGUUAGUAUCUUGCCCAAGGACAUUUGGCGUGCAGACUAGAGCGACGGGAUUGAACCACAAAUCUUCUGAUCAGUAGGUGACCUUCUCUAUAUCCUGAGCUCCAGCCACCCCAAGCAGGUAUCUAUGUAAUUUUGCAGCUAAAUCACCAUCCUGCAGCAACUUUCACUGUUUAUGAAGGAAGUUCAGUUUCACAUCUAUGACGUUUUGGCUGAACACUAAAUGUAAGCAGUAAAUGUCAAUUUCUGUCUAAUGUUAAUUUGUGUGUAUCACCACAUUUAGUCACCAUGUUAUCACAAACAGAUUACAUGUUUGUGCCAUGUAAUCUAUUGAAUGGAGCCAGUUUGACUCCAUUCAAUAGCAAACUUAUCACAGACUGAUGCCAGGCUGAAUCCUUAUCCCUUCUUAUUGAAGGGAUAAGGAUUCAAAGUCACUGAAGACUGAAACCACUGUGGUCACGUUUUCCCUAGUGUGACUGUACUGUUAUGCUUCUGUGUGGCAUCUUGCCACAGGCUGUUUUUAGGUAUUCUCUGUGAUUCUCUGCUCAUUCAUGUUAUUUGCAUAUUCAGGAAUGACUGCUGAGUAGAAGUACACCAUGAGGGUCAUAAGAAGGUUUUAAUGGUGUGGGUUAGGGGUUAACAAUGUUAUCUAACAGCAAGGGAGUCCUUGUUUUCAAACCUGGGAGCUAUGUGUUGCUUGCAUGUCCUCUCUGCCACUGAACAAAAACCACUCUAGGUUAAUUAUUGCUAUAUUUACCCAGAAACACUACUAAAAGAAAUGCUUGUAUCUCAUUUUCUGGUUAUAAAAUUCUGUAAUUGUUGGGCUUUUUUGCCCCCUAAUUAGUUUUCUGAAGUGGUCACAACAUGGGCUCUCCCUUGCUUGUUGUUGCAGUAAGAGUUAAUCUGUGAGACAUCAUGAAUGAAGGUCCUUGUGUCAGUAGUUUUAAUGGGAGUUCCACAGAAAUUCCUCAGUGAUGGUUUGUCCUCCUAAUGAAUAAGGUGCUGAGUGAUAAAGUGCAGCCAAGGUCAGAUGUUUGACAAGUCCUUGGCCCGGCCAGUGCAUUAGACCUCUCGGCGGUCUUCCUUUGCUUCUGUCAGGCCUGCUCUGAUUUAGCACUUUCUGUGGGUGUUCUGGACCCUGAGGCCAGAACAGGGAAAUUAUGGUCCAGCAGAACAAAAUCCCUACAGUCCCUCUGAUCUGCUCAAGCCAGCCAGGCUAAUUUUUACCCCAGUGAAGUUUCAACUCAACAUCAGAUGAUCAUGAGUCAAACUCAGGCAUUUAACAACAAACACAACCCUUGUGACCAAAGAGAGUGCCGUCUAAACAGAAAAGCGAUGACCUUUCAGGUCACUUUCACACUGCCAGAUUAAAUGCCAUAUAUGAGCAUGCACAUGUGACACUUUUCCCAUCUACAUACAGUAUUUAACAAGAGUGAGAGCAGAGCCAUUGCAGAACAUUGAUCAUAAGGCAAGUAUGACUAGCUUAUGAAUUCCCAGACUCCAUCACAGUCAACUGCAUUAUUACACAAGGCUGAUAAGGGUGUUGAAGUAGCGUAAACAGAGGCUGAGCAUUGCUCAACCCAUUUCCAGUUAACUUUUCUAAAAAAGUGUCACUCUUUCCUGAGCAUUUUAGGAUGGAAACAAACAAGUCUGAACAAUAAUUUGCUUUGACUUUAAAUCCUUAUAAUGAUUUCUUGCUGUACAUAAUAGUUAAUAUUGAAUGGAAAACAUAGUUGUAAACACAGCUAUGAAAAUGAUCAAAGUGUAUGCACAAAAAUGGAGAGGAGGUGAUUGCACCAGUUUAUGCCCAGUCUAUGCAAUUUUGAAAAAGUUUCACUUAUUUUUUAAAUUAAAAUAUGUACAGAUAUAUUUACAUAAACUGUGAUGUGCCCUUUGAAGUUUGUCAGGUUAGCGUGCAAGUAGGAGGGGAACUUGCGUGAUGACUAUCAGGGCAGUAAUGGGCAAAGAUUCUUGGCACUGGGCCAGGACCUCUGAGCUUUCGCCCUAACUGGCAUCAGCCAAACAUUGUGACCAAGGAUAAGGGUUCAACAUCAAACAGUUGGAUGGGCACUUUCCCGUUCAUAUUUCACAAUCAUCAGUCAGAAAAAAAAGUGAUGAAGAGUGGCUCCUGAUCUGCUAGCGCUACAUCUAAAUUAAAGAUGUUUAUGGAUCAUCAAGAUUUGUGAAACAACAGGAGGUCGCACAUUUUCAAUAUUUAAACUGUUCUUUUAAUUUUCUGAGGUUAGCUAAGGUGUUAGGUACCACUGUCAUGUCAGGAUGUUAAGAUGCUGGAAUGAUGACUUUUUAGCUUAGCAACUAGCUUGAAUGACAGAGAGAGUGUUAACAAGCUAGCAUGAUUCUUUUUAUUUCACGCUUAGAAAUUUACUGACCUGGUUAAAGCCCAAUUUAUUUU